GCAGACCAAAAAAUCCAUAAAGCUUCUUCAAUCAAAUCGAGGGAAAUAUCUUAACGGAGAAUUUUGGAUCUAUCUCAAGGAUAAUGGCAUAUGCUCAUAGUGGACACCUCCUGAGAUGACUCAGCUGAGUGGGGUAUCCGAAAGGAAGAAUUAGAUCCUUUUGGAUAUGAUCCGAUCUAUGAUGAGCUUCAUAGAUCUUUCUAUCUUUCUCUAGGGA
rnacentral:lncRNA from 1 species